GUUCGGGUCACUAUUUUCGUGAAUGAAGCCCCGUUUUAUUUACCUGCUCCAAAAAAUUAAUACGGAUCCAUAUUUGUCUCCCCUUUUUUCCUCAAACCCUAGAAUUUAAAACCUUCUCAUUCACGCCUUCAUUCUUCAAUCCUGUGCUCCAUUCAACCUUCAUUGAUAUGGAUUUUGGUUUGGCACUUCUUCGAUUGUGUGUUUCAUUUUAUACGUGUCCAUUCCCUACCCUGCUUUCUUAUCUUUUUCACCUACCCAUCGCAGAGAAUGAGAACCAGAGAGAGAAAGAGAGGAUUUGGGAGAAAGAGACCAUCUCUUAAUUCACCCUCAUCUUCUGUUCUGUUGAUUGCGGCGAGGUGUACCCCGCGGCGGCGUUGAUUACUUUGCGCAGAUUUGUGAUGUAAGGAGUCCGCGAAGCUAUUAAAACUUGACUUCUUCACCGAGUGCUAAACGGUGCGCAUCAAUCACGGGAUAACUACAAGGACAUCGAAAGGCUGUAGGACUACGACGACCGGCUCAACGAUUCCAACAGCAAAUAUCAGGUUGUUCUUCAGUGCCUCCUCUAAUUACCUGAAGAUUGCUUAUGAUAUGCCUUAAAUUUUAAUUGCCCGUCAAGUUUUUUUGAUAAGUUUUUUGUUCUUUGGUUUAAUGUUGUAUUUGAGAAUCAGAUUGGACCUAAGUGUCACCAUUGUUAGUGAAACAUGUGAGGUUUGUAUUAGAAGACAGAGUAUAAGCUAGAUAUAAGGCAUCGAUUUAUGUUUAUAUGUUAUGCUGUUAUUCAUAUUAUUAUUAGUGUUAUUAUAUUAGUAUAGUUUUAGUGGCGGUUAUGAUAUCAACCGGCCAAGUAUAUAUAUGUAAUAUUAUGUUGAACAUUAACAUUUACCAAUUCUAAUCAAAAGAACAUAUUCAUCCCUAUUCUCUCAAACCCUAAUACUCGAUCAUAGAAUACAGAUUCAAUAAAGUGGUAUCAGAGCCACAACGAUCCAAAGUUUUUUUUUUCUAUCACAGAUCUUAUUCAACAAAGAGGAUUCAACGUUAUAAUCUUAAAACGCAACAAAUUCAAUCAUGACCACGGUGAACGGAGGAUUUCAAACACAAAUUCCAAAACUACAAGGGGCAAAACUAUUAUCACUGGCACAUUCAAAUGAAGGUAUUACUGGAAUCACAAGAUCUGUGGACGAUUGUUGAAGAAGUUUACAGUGAUCUUCCAACCCAAGCGUCUGAAAAUGAUCGAAAUGUUCAUAAAGAAAAGGUAAAAAAGGAUAAGAAGGCAUUACAUAUCAUCUUCCAAGCGGUCAGUGAGAUUGUCUUCGAAAGAAUUGCAACAUGCAGAAUUUCUAAAGAAGCGUGGGAUGUCUUACAUAAAGCAUACAGAGGAGAACACAAAGUGAAAACGGUUCAGGUGUUGAGUUUUAUUUGUUGCUAGCCAACGGAGCAAGCAGAUAACUACUUCUUGAUUAUUAAUGUUCUAAACGUAACCCGUUUUGCAGGCAUUUGUUGGGGUUGUAGUCAUCGUAUUCAUUGGUAUAAGUCGUGGAUAUCUUCCAGCAACAAGGAAGACAAGGACACUAAUCUACAGUAUUUAAAAAAUAUCAAUAAAUUUCAUAAAGCUAACAAACCAUUUCAAACUUGUGUAGAGAUUUUGUACAACAAGUUUUUCUCUCUUUUGUACACCAAAUCCCCGCCGAUUCACUAAGCAGAUGACAAAACUACCCCACCAAAGAAAGGCAAGAAUCAUGGACUAGGCUCGAUGCUAUUGAUUCAAUAUGAUGAUUCACUUUUGGGGCUAGGCUCGAUGCCUUUUGGUAUAUCGUUGUUGUUGGUUGUGAUCAUUGUGUGGUUUUUGUUGCUACCACAUGGCUACCAGCAACAACCGAGUUGGUAAUGAGAUUUCACAUGGUACUGAGUUUCUGAGCCUGAUAAGAAUACUUGGAGAAGGCUUUGAUGAUUGGGUAGAAUUUAUGCAAGGAUGAAUUUUUAUUGUGUUGGCGGCCAAAAGAGAGGGUCAUUUGAAUGGCUUUACCUUCACUUGGAAACCAGUAAGUGUACAAUUGUGGCGCUUUCAUUCUCUUUGUUUCAUUGCUUAUAUGAGCCUUAAUGUUCAUUCUUCAUGUCUUCUGAUGAUGCACCGUCUACCCAAUUUUACUCUUUUUUAGUGGACAUGUGUAGUAUCAUGAUAAUGGAAUUUCAUUUUAUUUAAGGGGCUAUGAUGAUGAAAUAUUUUAUCUAAUGUUGAGCGUUGUUAUUUAAUUGUCUUUGCCUUUUUAUCUGUCUCUUGAGUAUGCAGUCAGGGUAGACUUAUCCUCUUCAUUUUGAAGAUAAAGUAUUAUGCAUUUUGGCGGGGCAACCGGUAUGGUGCUUUUUGUUAGGGAUCCUAUAUGUGUCAAUCAGUGAGCCUUUUUGUUGUUUACGAUUGUUAACUUCACAUAUUCUUCUCGUGUGAUUCGCUUUGCCGACAAAAGCAAUUUGGUGGCAUUCGUGAUGGUCAUGUGAUUGUAGUGAAUUGCUUUACAAUAUUAGUAGCAGUAUAUGUCAAUUAUAUUACUUUGCAUUUGAGUUGUAUAACUUGGCGAAGGUUGGAGAGAAUAGUCAUGCUAUGUUACCGGACUUGAAUGCCUUUUCAUGUGAAUUUGUUUCCUCACAAAAGGCAAGUCUUGGCAGCUUAGAUGGUCAUAUGAUAUCACAUGGCUAUCGGUUAAUUUGUAAUCUAUUUUGAAAAAAUUGAAUGCCAUGAAUUUGUUUGUUACUAUUUGUAUGUUUUUAACAGCACUUAUAUUAUGAAAAGAAACAGGGCAGAGGCCCUCCAGCUAUGAGCUAGAUUACAAAACGAGAAAUAAAAAUAAACACAUUACAAACUAGGCACAUCGAAGCGGGUUAGAACUCCAAGCCAUGAAGAUCCAAUAUUUGUGCUUAGCACGGUUCUUAAUCCAAUGGAGAUAAAGAGAAAGAUCUUGACAUGGAUAUUCUAUACAACCCCCUGGUGCAUAUGGAAGGAAAGAAACUGCGGAGUCUUCAGAAGAUCAUACACCACGGAUCAAAAGGUUUUGAAAGAUACUAUUUAUACGUACAUUUGAAAAAAUUAACUGCCCAUGAUUUUGUUUGUUACGGUAGCGAAUGAGUUGCAUGUUUUAUUUGUGAUUA